CACAAAUAUAAUUAUAAUAAUAGUCAAAUACGAUUACACCCAUUAACAUUAAAAUAAUCAAUAACACAACAUUCAUACAUUCACAUACUCAAAAUACCAUUACAAUGUCAUGACAAAAACUGAGAACUACAUGGUGGAUUACCGGACUGGUCGAGUUGUCUCAUACAGGCCACCAAUUGUCGUUGCAAUUUCAAUUCCAUGCCAUUUCGCAUGUGUUCCAUUUGUAAGUCCAUUUGACUUUGCCUUUGAUCCAUUAUAGCAUUGUAGUUUACAUUAUAGCUUGUUGCAUGUUUGACACUUGUUGUCGCCAAGGCGGCUCCAUUACUUUUUCAUGCCCCAAGCGAGAUGAGUAAUAAUGCCCCUAUAUUUGACAAUUUCAACUUAUACAUGUAAGAUAACCAAAAGGACCCCAACAUCCCCACUUCUUGAUGACAAAUGAAAAGAGCUGAUUAGCUAGAAACUGGAAAAAAGAAAACAAACAAAUACACGUUAUUAAGGACAUGUAUUCAAAACAAAUAUUCUUAACGGAACUAUAUUCAAGAGAAUUAUAACCUAUCAAACUUUAAUGGUCAAAAGCAAAGUAGGCCAUUGGCAGCAAUUUUAAAGAGUGAAAAGUGAAAAUAUUUUUUAUUAUCUACCCCCUUAAAUCAACAAGCAUGAGUACAGUAGGACCAAUUCAAAAAAAAUCAAGAAAACAGGUGUGCAAAAAACCUAAAAUCAUUAAUCGAAUAGGAAAUAACUACUGAAAUAAGAAAAUAACUAAUUGGAACCCACAAAUUAGUGAAUUCACUAAUCAGUUAAAUAUAACCCACAUAAGAAUAUCACUAUAUCCAAAUUCAGAAUCAAAAAAUGAAAGCAUGAUUCUCAAAUCAGAAUUCGGAAAUUACCUCAGGCUGAGUGGUACUUGUCGUCCUCCUCUUCCCACAUCAGUAACAUCACUAAUCGAAACUCAGAAUUCAGAAACCUAGAGAAAUCUAGAGGAAUCAUCAAAUCAUCAAGAGAAAUCAGGAAAAAAAACAUUGCUCUGAAUCGCAACCAAUAUAAGAGCACAUCGAUUUCAAUAUAAAAGGGGAAAUCGAUAUUUGAUUUGCAAGGAAAAACCAUCGAUUUCAUAUUUUAAAAGGAAUAAAACCAUCGAUUUCUGGUUUGCAAAGGAAAUAAAAAAGGAGCAAAAUACCUGCUGUGAAGUCGAGUUCUUCGUGAAGAAGGAGGCGCGGAGGUGGCCGGAGGUAGUGGAGAACUCGACGGAUGUAGCCGGAGGUAUGGACGACAACGUUGAAAUCGAUUGGAGCAGGUGCCGGUGUGAAGUCGAUUGGAGAAGGGACGUUUUUGUGUAUGAGGGAUACAGGCGGGAGGAUGUUUUUAUGAAAGCGGGAUGAAUUUUUUUGAGGGAUACGAGCGGGAGGAUGUUUUUAUAAGAGCGGGAUGAAUUUUUUUAAGGCGUGGGUAUUCUGUAGGUAGUAUGAUGCAUAGGUAUUCUGUAGGUGCCAAAGCCUAAGAGAAGAUAAAUAGCUAUUAAAUCCAAAUUUUCAUGUUAU
rnacentral:lncRNA from 1 species